GAAUAUUGGACAAUGGGGGGAACCCUGAUCCCGCCAUGCCGCGUGUGUGAAGAAGGCCUGUUGGUUGUAAAGCUCUUUAAGCGAGGAGGAGGCUACCGUAGUUAACACCUAGGGAUAGUGGACGUUACUCGCGGAACAAGCCCCGACUAACUCUGUGCCAGCAGCCGCGGUAAUACUGAGGGUGCAAGCGUUAAUCGGAAUUACUGGGCGUAAAGCGCGCGUAGGUGGCUAAGUAAGUCAAAUGUGAAAUCCCCGAGCUUAACUUGGGAAUUGCAUUCGAUACUGGUUGGCUAGAGUAUGGGAGAGGAUGGUAGAAUUCCAGGUGUAGCGGUGAAAUGCGUAGAGAUCUGGAGGAAUACCGAUGGCGAAGGCAGCCAUCUGGCCUAAUACUGACACUGAGGUGCGAAAGCAUGGGGAGCAAACG
rnacentral:rRNA from 1 species